AUGAUCUGCCGCCCCCCCGUCACAGGAUACCUGCCGGCUGCACAGAAACCAGAGGCUGUUGUCCAUGCCAUGAAAGUAUUAGAAGUCCAUGAGAACCUAGACAGGAAGAUCCUGGAGGACUACGAGGAGGAUCUCAGUGAGAAAGAGAAAGCCAUUGUCAGAGAGAUGUGUAAUGUGGUGUGGCGUAAGCUCGGUGAUGCAGCAGGAUCCAAACCCUCCAUCCGCCAACAUCUCUCUGGGAACCAGUUCAAAGGCCCUUUGUAGCUUCCAUGUCAAUGACCAGCAGGGCCUCGAACAAACAAACAAAUCUGUGAAUAUGACAGGAGGAACCGUCAGUCUCAGAACUGGGCAACUUCGGGAAACCACACAAAGAACUUCGCUUCUACUGCCAGCUUCUUUCAGCCCAUGGCAUUCAGUUGAGACAUUUCAAACCUAUUACUUAUGAUGCCCGGAGGUAGUUUAACAUAUAAUAGACUCACAAUUAGCACAAGCUAAAUCAUAGCUCUAUUUAUGUGCACACUAUCCAAGAAUUCAUACAAGGCAGCUUAAUGGAUUCAUUUCUCGUUCCAGAUAAGGAAUUAAAGCACACAGCUCGUAUACACAGAUAAAUACUCCAUGGGGAUACUCCUUCUU